GACGAACGCUGGCGGCGUGCUUAACACAUGCAAGUCGAACGGAAAGGCCCUGCUUUUGUGGGGUGCUCGAGUGGCGAACGGGUGAGUAACACGUGAGUAACCUGCCCUUGACUUUGGGAUAACUUCAGGAAACUGGGGCUAAUACCGGAUAGGAGCUCCUGCUGCAUGGGGGGGGUUGGAAAGUUUCGGCGGUUGGGGAUGGACUCGCGGCUUAUCAGCUUGUUGGUGGGGUAGUGGCUUACCAAGGCUUCGACGGGUAGCCGGCCUGAGAGCGUGACCGGCCACAUUGGGACUGAGAUACGGCCCAGACUCCUACGGGAGGCAGCGGUGGAGAAUAUUGCACAAUGGGCCGAAGCCUGAUGCAGCGACGCCGCGUGCGGGAUGACGGCCUUCGGGUUGUAAACCGCUUUCGCCUGUGACGAAGCGUGAGUGACGGUAAUGGGUAAAGAAGCACCGGCUAACUACGUG
rnacentral:rRNA from 1 species